rnacentral:rRNA from 1 species
UGCAAGUCGAACGAUGAAGUUCCUUCGGGAAUGGAUUAGUGGCGAACGGGUGAGGAACACGUGAGAAACCUGCCUUUCAUUCUGGGAUAACACCGGGAAACCGGUGCUAGUACCGGAUACUCCAUCUUGGCGGCAUCGCCGAGCUGGGAAAAAAUUUUGAUGAAAGAUGGUCUCGCGGCCUAUCAGCUAGUUGGUGAGGUAAAGGCUCACCAAGGCGACGACGGGUAGCCGGCCUGAGAGGGCGACCGGCCACACUGGGACUGAGACACGGCCCAGACUCCUACGGGAGGCAGCAGUAGGGAAUAUUGGGCAAUGGGCGAAAGCCUGACCCAGCGACGCCGCGUGAGGGAUGAAGGUCUUCGGAUUGUAAACCUCUUUCAGUAGGGAAGAAGCGAAAGUGACGGUACCUAAAGAAGAAGCACCGGCUAACUAUGUGCCAGCAGCCGCGGUAAUACAUAGGGUGCAAGCGUUGUCCGGAAUUAUUGGGCGUAAAGAGCUCGUAGGUCGUUUGUCGCGUCGAUUGUGAAAAUCUGAGGCUCAACCUCAGACCUGCAGUCGAUACGGGCAAACUAGAGUGUGGUAGGGGAGACUGGAAUUCCUGGUGUAGCGGUGGAAUGCGCAGAUAUCAGGAGGAACACCAAUGGCGAAGGCAGGUCUCUGGGCCAUAACUGACACUGAGGAGCGAAAGUGCGGGGAGCGA